GAGAAACAUGUUAGUUGAUUACACCUGAAAUGGAUUAUUUAUCUCAUCAGCAAGUAUUAUUUGAAUAAAAUGAGAAAUGCUUAAGAAAAUUGUUGCUCUAUAGUAAUUUGGUUUUGAAGAAUGGAAUGGUAACUUUUUUUCCAUCGUUCUUUUGAGAGAAGAAAGUGUGAUGACUGAUGAUCUUGAAAAGCCCAUUUCUGAUUGCACAUUGACUAGCAUUCUUUCUUUGUGUCUGUGGACUAGCGAUGCUGUUUGUAAAAUGAAGAUUCGGGACUGGCUCAUAUCUUUUUAUCUAACUAGAUGUCAGAUCUUGAAAUCUGUAUUCUCGAAGCAAUUCUGCCACUUGAUCGUAUUCACAAGGGCCCUGAUAGGCUCCUUUAGAAGGACCAGUUCUGUUCCUAGAGUUUAACUAGAAUUCAUUAUUCUUCACUGAAAAAAAAAAAGAAAAGUUAAUUAAGAAAGCAUUUCUUUCCUAAUCUCACUCAAAUCUGCAGAGUUAUUUGUAAUUAGUAAUACAAAAUCUGGCCAAAAGGAGACUUGUAAAUAGCGUAAAGUGGUGUCUUAUGCUAAACGGUGGAAUGUAUAGGCAGAGAAGCUCUUUGAAGUUGUCACAUGAGCUGGGCUCACAAGCCUGAUUCAAUCAGGCUGUCAGUCUCCUCUCACCCCUUAAUACUGUGCAGGCCAAACUCCUAGGACUCUUGAACAUCUGAGCAGUUUUGUGCUUUGAGCCACUUUUUGACAAAAAUGGCUCCAUUUUUCCACAGCGUGGUUUUCUUAAAAUAGUUUAAUGUUUUAUAGUCUCGUAGUAGUGUUGCUUUCUAAGCUAUAACAGUCGACUUUAUUCUUCUACUCUGAAAAAUCUUGACUUGUUUGAGUGUAUAUAAUAUAUAUAAAGGGAGCCUUAAUGGAUUGGUUUUCAUAAUUUAAUAUUUUUUGUAUUUGCUCUUGUAUAAUUGUUUUUAACGGAAAGUAUUAAAGAAUUGAGGGUGGAAUUCUUAGAACCAAAGUUAUUCUUAAUAAAAAUCACCACAUGCUUGGACCAUGC
rnacentral:lncRNA from 1 species